CGCAAGUCGAGCGAGAAAUUUUCUUCGGAAAAGAGUAAAGCGGCGGACGGGUGAGUAACGCGUAGGAAUCUACCUAGUAGUGGGGGACAACAUGUGGAAACGCAUGCUAAUACCGCAUACGCCCUAUGGGGGAAAGCAGGGGAUCUUCGGACCUUGUGCUAUUAGAUGAGCCUGCGUCGGAUUAGUUUGUUGGUAGGGUAAUGGCCUACCAAGACUACGAUCCGUAGCUGGUCUGAGAGGAUGAUCAGCCACACUGGGACUGAGACACGGCCCAGACUCCUACGGGAGGCAGCAGUGGGGAAUAUUGGACAAUGGGCGCAAGCCUGAUCCAGCCAUGCCGCGUGUGGGAAGAAGGCUCUAGGGUUGUAAAGCACUUUCAGUAGGGAGGAAAAGUUAGUAGUUAAUAACUGCUAGCCCUGACGUUACCUACAGAAGAAGCACCGGCAAACUCCGUGCCAGCAGCCGCGGUAAUACGGAGGGUGCGAGCGUUAAUCGGAGUUACUGGGCGUAAAGCGCGCGUAGGCGGUUUGAUAAGCUGGAUGUGAAAGCCCCGGGCUCAACCUGGGAACUGCAUCCAGAACUGUCUGACUAGAAUACAAUAGAGGUGAGUGGAAUUUCCUGUGUAGCGGUGAAAUGCGUAGAUAUAGGAAGGAACAUCAGUGGCGAAGGCGACUCACUGGAUUGAUAUUGACGCUAAGGUGCGAAAGCGUGGGGAGCGAACAGGAUUAGAUACCCUGGUAGUCCACGCCGUAAACGAUGUCUACUAGCCGUUGGGAUCCUUGAGGUCUUGGUGGCGCAGCUAACGCAAUAAGUAGACCGCCUGGGGAGUACGGCCGCAAGGUUAAAACUCAAAUGAAUUGACGGGGGCCCGCACAAGCGGUGGAGCAUGUGGUUUAAUUCGAUGCAAC
rnacentral:rRNA from 1 species